ACUCCUACGGGAGGCAGCAGUGAGGAAUUUUGCACAAUGGGGGAAACCCUGAUGCAGCGACGCCGCGUGAGUGACGAAGGCCUUCGGGUCGUAAAGCUCUGUCAGUAGGGAAGAAAUGUGCGAUGGCUAAUAUCCAUUGUACUUGACGGUACCUACAAAGGAAGCACCGGCUAACUCCGUGCCAGCAGCCGCGGUAAUACGGAGGGUGCAAGCGU
rnacentral:rRNA from 1 species